rnacentral:piRNA from 1 species
UCCAGGAACUGAUGGGGACUUUGGGG